AGAGUUUGAUCCUGGCUCAGAAUCAACGCUGGCGGCGUGCCUAACACAUGCAAGUCGAACGAGAAAGGGUAGCAAUACCUGAGUAAAGUGGCGCACGGGUGAGUAACACGUGACUAACCUACCUUUUAGUGGGGGAUAACCUAGGGAAACCUGGGCUAAUACCGCAUAACACUUACGAGUCAAAGCAGCAAUGCGCUGAAAGAGGGGGUCGCAGCCGAUUAGCUAGUUGGUGGGGUAAUGGCCCACCAAGGCAGUGAUCGGUAUCCGGCCUGAGAGGGCGCACGGACACACUGGAACUGAAACACGGUCCAGACUCCUACGGGAGGCAGCAGUGGGGAAUUUUGCGCAAUGGGGGAAACCCUGACGCAGCAACGCCGCGUGGAGGAUGAAGUCCCUUGGGACGUAAACUCCUUUCGAUCGGGACGAUAAUGACGGUACCGGAAGAAGAAGCCCCGGCUAACUUCGUGCCAGCAGCCGCGGUAAUACGAGGGGGGCAAGCGUUGUUCGGAAUUAUUGGGCGUAAAGGGUGCGUAGGUGGUUCGGCAAGUCUUGUGUGAAAUCUUCAGGCUCAACUUGAAGUCUGCACAAGAAACUGCCGGGCUUGAGUAUGGGAGAGGUGAGUGGAAUUUCCGGUGUAGCGGUGAAAUGCGUAGAUAUCGGAAGGAACACCUGUGGCGAAAGCGGCUCACUGGACCAUUACUGACACUGAGGCACGAAAGCUAGGGGAGCAAACAGGAUUAGAUACCCUGGUAGUCC
rnacentral:rRNA from 1 species